CUUUAAUAGUUUUAAUGUGUGGUUUUAGAGGGUUAAUCGUCAUGUGUGUAGAGUCUACCCAGUCAGGUGACGUAAGCAUGUCUUGUAAAUAGAAGGUCCCCAACUUGUUAUAUGAGCCACCUCCUUUCCAAUACAUUCCCAUUACAUACUCUCCAGCGUCCCCUGGGCUGGGAUGUUCUAUGUUUAAGGUGAGUUUCAUUGGGGUAUCCCUGUUGGCUUACAUAAGGUUAUUCUGUGUAACAAAGGUUUCCCAUAUCUGUCAAUCCUAUUUAAGGCACUUUGUG